rnacentral:rRNA from 1 species
ACACAUGCAAGUCGAGGGGCAGCAUGGUCUUAGCUUGCUAAGGCCGAUGGCGACCGGCGCACGGGUGAGUAACACGUAUCCAACCUGCCGUCUACUCUUGGACAGCCUUCUGAAAGGAAGAUUAAUACAAGAUGGCAUCAUGAGUCCGCAUGUUCACAUGAUUAAAGGUAUUCCGGUAGACGAUGGGGAUGCGUUCCAUUAGAUAGUAGGCGGGGUAACGGCCCACCUAGUCUUCGAUGGAUAGGGGUUCUGAGAGGAAGGUCCCCCACAUUGGAACUGAGACACGGUCCAAACUCCUACGGGAGGCAGCAGUGAGGAAUAUUGGUCAAUGGGCGAGAGCCUGAACCAGCCAAGUAGCGUGAAGGAUGACUGCCCUAUGGGUUGUAAACUUCUUUUAUAAAGGAAUAAAGUCGGGUAUGGAUACCCGUUUGCAUGUACUUUAUGAAUAAGGAUCGGCUAACUCCGUGCCAGCAGCCGCGGUAAUACGGAGGAUCCGAGCGUUAUCCGGAUUUAUUGGGUUUAAAGGGAGCGUAGAUGGAUGUUUAAGUCAGUUGUGAAAGUUUGCGGCUCAACCGUAAAAUUGCAGUUGAUACUGGAUAUCUUGAGUGCAGUUGAGGCAGGCGGAAUUCGUGGUGUAGCGGUGAAAUGCUUAGAUAUCACGAAGAACUCCGAUUGCGAAGGCAGCCUGCUAAGCUGCAACUGACAUUGAGGCUCGAAAGUGUGGGUAUCAAACAGGAUUAGAUACCCUGGUAGUCCACACGGUAAACGAUGAAUACUCGCUGUUUGCGAUAUACUGCAAGCGGCCAAGCGAAAGCGUUAAGUAUUCCACCUGGGGAGUACGCCGGCAACGGUGAAACUCAAAGGAAUUGACGGGGGCCCGCACAAGCGGAGGAACAUGUGGUUUAAUUCGAUGAUACGCGAGGAACCUUACCCGGGCUUAAAUUGCAGAUGAAUUACGGUGAAAGCCGUAAGCCGCAAGGCAUCUGUGAAGGUGCUGCAUGGUUGUCGUCAGCUCGUGCCGUGAGGUGUCGGCUUAAGUGCCAUAACGAGCGCAACCCUUGUUGUCAGUUACUAACAGGUUCCGCUGAGGACUCUGACAAGACUGCCAUCGUAAGAUGUGAGGAAGGUGGGGAUGACGUCAAAUCAGCACGGCCCUUACGUCCGGGGCUACACACGUGUUACAAUGGGGGGUACAGAGGGCCGCUACCACGCGAGUGGAUGCCAAUCCCCAAAACCUCUCUCAGUUCGGACUGGAGUCUGCAACCCGACUCCACGAAGCUGGAUUCGCUAGUAAUCGCGCAUCAGCCACGGCGCGGUGAAUACGUUCCCGGGCCUUGUACACACCGCCCGUCAAGCCAUGGGAGCCGGGGGUACCUGAAGUGCGUAACCGCGAGGAGCGCCCUAGGGUAAAACUGGUGACUGGGGCUAA